UUUUUUUUUUUUUUUAAACAGAAGCUAGAAUUUUGCCCUUCAUUUUACCUCCUAAGAAAAGACACUGUGAUCCUUUCCUGGCCUUCAUUAAUUUAAUCUGGGGUUAAUAAAUCCCAUUUAAAUUUUUUGAGAUAAAUCAUUUAAUAAAUCUGCUUUAAAUAUAGUUACCUGCAUUAUCAUAAUAGUUUUACUGAUUUCAAUACUUACCAACUUUCUUUUCUUCUUAAUUUUGGUUCAUUUUGGUAAUGCAGUGAUUAUUUUCAGGUAUUUCUUUCUAUAAAGGGCAAAUAAGUAGUGUGGUGCAGAUCACAGAAUGUUUUUGUUACCUUCACAUGUGGAUGACUGGAGACAUUCUGAACUAGAAAACUGCUCUAUUCCAGCUGGCAUUAACGUGUAAAAGAGGAUCUUCAUGUAGACUACAGCCUUUUCCUUAGAUGAAGAUUCCUCCUAUUAAAACUAUAUAUUGUUUAAUUUGUUUUCUUUGGGAACACCUAUUGUUCAAAGGAUAAAUCUUUGUAACCAGCCUUUUAAAUCUGUACCUUUUCUCACUAAAUUCAUCUGAAGGUGCUUUUUAAAGUUUAUCUUCCACUCUGGUGCUUUUGGUUUAUCGUAACAUCUUUUAAGUUGCAGAAUCCUUUAAAGGAAAGCUUAUUACGCACAAUAUAGCACACUGAGGAAGGCAGCUCUGAUCUCUGUUGGCUCAGGAGAACCUGCAGACUUCUGAAAACCAGUUUGAUAUUCACCUUUCUUCAUUUGGGGUUCGAUUCUCCUUAGCACUAUGACUAUUUACUGUUUCUGACACAAAUCUUAAUUUGGCCUCUCCCUUUCUUGGCCCACUCUUACUCUUCUGCCCUCAUUAUCAUAAUGUUCUGUUGCACCAGGGUGGGAGCUGAAGCAGCUAUUUUCUAAUAUUUCUUGCUAUGCAUGUGCUGGAAAAAUAAAGCCCUUCAUUCUAAAUGCCUCAGGAUAUUUACUGUUCUUUUCUCAUGCUGCAGAAGUGUCUGUCCCAUUAGCCUCAUGCUGAUUUUGCUUAAUUCACUAACAAAAACUUUAAUUCAAGUGUAAGAUAAAUUUUUUAAAAUGUGUAAACUAUUUAGAGUACAACUCAAAAAGUUAUCGCCACACUAGUGAAGAAAGGCAGGAUUACCAGCACACCAUCAGGCCCAUUUCUGACUUCUCACUCCAUUCUGCCUACAGGUAUAUUUUGCUUGUUUUUGAACAAUUUUAUAGCGGGAAUCAUACAGCACAUUUUUUGUUGGCUUAUCAACAUCAUGUUUAUAAGAUUCAUCCAAAUUGUUACAUGUAGCAAGUUAGCUCACAUCCUUGUCCUUGUUUGAGCAGUAGCUCACUCUAUGCGUUCUGUUGGCACUGGAGUUGUUUCCACUUUGAGGUUAUUAUGAAUAAUGCUAAGAAUAUUCUUCUAUAUAUGUUUGUGUACCCAAAUGUUACCUUGGUUGGAUACAUGCUUAGAUGUAGAAUUACUGAGUUGAGGGUGAAUGUAUGUUUUAAUGUUAGUAGGUUUCUGUCAAACAUUUCCAAAAUGGUUGGGCCAAUUUACACUACCACCAGCACAGUUUAUGAACAAUAGCCAGUUCUUGUCUGCUCCACAUUCUCAUCAGCACUUGGUAUUGUCGAUAUUUUAAUUUUUGCUGUUAGUAACAGUGUAAGGGUAUCUGACUAUAGUUUUAAUGUGCAUUUCCUUAAUGACUCAUGUGGCUAAACAUUUAAUAGAUUUAAAAAUUAACUUAUGUUACUUAUUAAAGUAAAAAAGAAUGUUUUAGUGUUUCUUUAAAAAAGAUAAGGAAUUUACCCAAUUCUCCCUUCUUUUGCCCCAAAAAACAAUACACACACACACACACACACACACACACAAAAACUGUGAUCCCUUCUCAGCCUUCUGUGUGAAAUGCUGGUUCAAAUCUCUUGUCCAUUUAGUUUCUCAUUUCUCAGUGAGGACAGGUUUAGCUAGACCAACUGGAGAAAUGGCAGACUCUGAGGAUUGCUUCAGCUCUUUUUCAAUCCACUCAAGUGCAGAUGCUUAUCCAGCAGGUAGCCAGAAAUGUUAAACCCAUUUCAUUUCUCCAAGGAAACCCAAGGAAGUCCAUCAGAUGUAGGCUUAGUGUAGACGAGCAUAAUAAAUUUCCUUGCAGUAAGACCAAAGUUCUUAGUUUUGAAAAACAGUUAGAAAGAAUAUCUUUUCAAAAAGAAUCUUGCUCUAAGUACUCUACAUCUGCUAAUAGGUAGAGGCUAAGAGAUCUUUUUGGGUUGUUUUGCUGCUCUUGUCAUUAUUCUCCCCUUUUAUGACUACCACUCCCUACCCCUGGGUGAAUGCCAGCGGUGGUUCUCUGAGUUAAGGAAAAGCUCCAGGAUAGUUACACCUUCAGUGCCACUAGUGAAGAAUCCAGAAAGCCUCUUCUGAUGGGACUCUUUAACAGCUGCCUCAAGUGUAAGUACAGCCUUCUUAUACAUAAGGUAAUAAGCAAUGUUAGAUGAUGGGAGCACUAAGGUGUCAUCUUGCCUUACUAACAAAGUUACUUAUGCAGAAUUUGAAUUCGCUAUUAAAAAAAAAUUAUCCUUAUGGCUUUACCUAGUAAGAAUUCCUUUAGUUUCCACUAUUUUUACCUAAGUCUCUAUGAAUAACAUUAUUUUUUUUUUAUUUGAAUGUUUCAUGGGUAUUUUUGUAGAAAACUGGCAUAGGAGUAUUGCAGAUGUUUGUUACUUAUACUGCCUUUAACUUUUUUAUUUUCUAGAUGAAAAAACAGGUCCAAAAAGGCAAUGCUGCUAUCAUGUAUGAAACUUUGGGGGGAACUGAAGGUUAGCAAUAUCAGUAUGAUCUAGAAGACAUGAUACAUUCCUAUAUUAUAAGUAACUGAAAGCUAUUAAGUAGAAGUACAUUGCUAAUCUUUCAGGAUGACAUAAAGGAAAUCUACUUUCAUUUUUUCUUCCUCCCACACUUUGAGUUACAGCAGUGAAGAAAGACUGGGCUAGGUAAAAAAUGAGCCUAUAUCACAGUGCUUAGGAUCUCCAAAUUCAGGGUAAAAGUGAAAGGAAAUAAGCCCUGCUAGGAGUUUCUGGUGUAAAGAUUAAGCCAAGAUAGUAUCUAAAUGGUAGAUGGGCCCAGGCAGGAGUUUGUGAUAGUAAAACAAAGAUGUGUGCUACCUCCCCAAGUAUGUUCUUUUUUUGCCACUGUUGGUCCAAUUUUGGCAUUGCCAAUGCAGGUCAGCCAGUUCCAGUUUUCAGCAAUCACUGCAGAUUCUUCCUAAAGUCAGUCCUAUAAGUAACAAAUCAUGAUCUCCUUCUACACUGUCCCCCAAGCGUCACAUUCUUAAGUUACUAAUGUACUAAUGUGAAAGAGGAAAGAAGUCUCUUGUGCCAAAGGAUCAAUGAUAUAAGAAUGUAAAAACUAUUUUCUAGUGCCAAAACACAAUAUAACAGAUUUUGUCAAGGAUGAAAGGAAAAAAAAAUUAAAUGAUGUAUUUUUGUAUACCAGAUCUUCCAGUAAAUGAAGAUGACUUUAAUUAGAUGACUUUAAAGUAGAUGACUUUAAUUCUUCUUUUAGCAUUAAACGAAAAAAGAACAAGCCCCAAACCCUCUAAGAACUCUGUACUAAUGAACGCUGUGACCUGUGUUUUACUGAUGCUGAAAAUUGAUGAUAAUAUAUGAGCAAGAAAAUCAGUUAGCAGCAACAGCAUUCACCUACAAAAUCAGGCAGGAAAAUGAAAAGAGCAUAGAUUCAUAUGAGUUUCUGUGAGUAUGCACUUUGGUUAUCCGAUUGUGCUCAACAAUUUUUCCAAUUUCUAUAGGAAACAGUACUUGUUUUUUGAUAUGGGUCCUGAGUUUUGCUUUUCAAAUACAAAUGAUUUUCCUAAAACAGUCUCCUGAUGUCCUCCCUUCGCCACUUCUGCAGCAAUAUUGUCAGAAAGGCGGUCUCCAGGGUUCUGCAAUGGUUGUAGCCUUAGUUAGCUUGAAGGUUAGCUAGCUUACAUGGACCUUGACAUCUGGAUAUUGACUGCAAUUCAUCUAAGACAGUCAUAGGGACUCCCUUUCCUGUGGUAGAUAACCAGGCUAAUGGAUUUUCACAGGGCCUGGCAACUUUGUCAAAGUUUAGUAUUAGGGACCUCCAUAUUCUACUGAGGACAAGUCUUUUCUACCUCAAAUAAAGUCAAAACAUGGUCAUUAUAAUGAACGAACUGCAACUCCAUAUGUUACUAAAUGUUUCUAUCUGAUCCCCUAGCAAUACCAUACCUUCAGUUCCCAGGAUCCAUGUGUCCUUGAGUUACUGUUUCUAGAAAAGGAAAUAAUGCAAUCCAUUUAUUAGAAUUCAGAUAUUAAAAUGAAACUUAUCUAAUAAGGAUGACCUUUAUGUUUUCUCUCUUUACUGAAAUCUUAUAUUUCAGUCAAGAGUUCAGUUUCAUAGUUGCUAUGAUUUUAAUAGAGCUUACCAUCCACAUAUGGAAAUAAAUAAAAUUUGCAUGUGGCUAUACCCCAGGAUGAGAAGGCCAUAUAUAUAUUUCAUUUGUUCUUGACUUUACUGAGUUUUAGUUUUAUGCAAAUAAUUAAUAAGUUACUGAAAAUUAAACUGUACCUAUAAAUGAAGAGAUUUGCGGAUGUACCAAAAAAGCAUUCAUUUUGUAAGAAUAUUCACUUUAUGAUUCAAAAGCUGAUGAAAAUUCAUUAUAACUCAUUUCAAGAUAAAUGUAAAUAAAAAAUAAAAUUAGGUAGACACUGAGUGGCAAAAAAGCAAAUUACCAUCCUAUACAAACAUCAAAGUAUAUUUACUAACGUGAAAAAGGUGGCCUGUCAUCUUGCUAUUUCUAAAACUGCUUGUGUUUCGCUUUCUUACUAUAAUUCAUAUUUACUGAUACUAAAAGCAAAUGCUUAAUCGUAAAACGUGCUUAAGAUAAAAAGACUUAGGAACUUCUCAAUGUCUUACUUCUACAAUAGUUCAAUUUAAGGUCCAACAUAUGGACUCUCUUAAGGCCAGCAUACUGCAAAGUCAAUGCAUUGACAACCCUAUCAAAAUCACUUAGGGAGAAGGGAGAAACUCAGCCCCAAAUCUGCAGACUCAGUGUAUCUGUAUUUUAAACAGAUUUUUGUGAACACUAAAGUUUAGAACCACUGCUUUAGACAAUAACAAAUCCUAUCAUUUCAUGCUCAAUGCCUUAAGUCAUAUUGGAAUGCUACUGUUCAUUGAGUGACGGUGUUUAUCACCACCUAGUGGUAAUAUCUUUUAUUUCUAUUUUCUGUCUGUUCAUUGAUCUCAUGUAGGUUCCAAUUAAGAGAACAACAUUCAGAGAAUGUGAAAAUUUUACAGUAAUUUCCUUACAGAAAAGCUACAGUAAUUAGCUUUUUAUCUAUGGUGGGAUUAGAAAAGGAUAAAAAAGAAAACCACACCACUACCAUUGAAUAGAAACAAUAUAUACUGUGGAAGAAUCUCUCCUAAAAUACAUUUGUUGUAGUAUCAGUGCCCCGUUAGUAGUGUAGCUCUAAAAACACAUUUCACAGUGCAAACUAUGGUAUUCUUUUGUAGAUACAGAGGUGAUGUAUAUUAGCAUAUCAAAGGUUCUAAGAAGUUUCAUGACCAAAAAAAAUCUGCAAUAAUAACAUUUUCUAAAUAUAUUUGACCAUGAAAACUCCUUCCCUAAAGAACACUUACUGAUUCCUCUCAAGACACUAGUAUUUCAAGGAACAGAACUUAGGACAUAAAGCUCUAGAAACAGCAAAUCUGGUAACUGCUUUCAGCAUCUGUGAUCUACCAUAAAAGACCUGACAACAACUUCACAUGAAAGUUUUGAUCAGGAUUUUUUUUUUUUGAUGCUAUUUAUAUUGGAACCACAUAUCUGAGAAAUAAGUUUAUUGAUCUGAAUUGUUUAACUUUUUCUUUUUUUCAAAUUAAAGAAAUACACACCUAAUAAAAACCCCUCUAUGCCAGCCAUUUUAGUAACUGACAUAUGCAGAGCAUCUAGGUGUCUAUAUGUUAUGUUCUUAUAUCCAGAAUGCAUUUGAGAAGUAAACAUUUAAGUGAAAAGAUGAGCACUAGAUUAUUAGAUGCUAUUUUCUUAGGUUCUAAACCUCUUCAUUUUAAGAAAAAUGUGCCAUUUUAGUUUUUAAAAAUAAACUUUUAAGGUUCAACUACAAGCGACAACUGGGACACGCUGCUGGAAAACACAAUAGAACGGUGCCAUCAUAAAAGCAGUGUUUUGUAGGCAGAGAAUACAAAUCACUGUAGAAUUUACUAUGAAGGAAUCAAGGAGAUAAAUCUACCUAAGACACCUUACUGAAACCACAACUGUUUGCUGAAACUGGCUCUCUGACAUUAAAUGCAGAAUGGAGAAAUUGGGAAUAUUUCAUCCAAAUAGAAAAUUUGGAGGGCAGGAGGGCAUAUGGUAGCUAUCACCUGAAAGAUUUAACUUCUUCUAUAUGGCACAGUGAAAAACUUAAAGACUAAUAGGUAAAAAGUGUGGGGAAAUCAGAUUUUGUCAAUUAGGAGGAUAAUCAAAGAUGUAAUGGCCUCAGCUAUGCGUUAAAAGAGCUCCCUAUUUUUACACCAUUUAGAUUAACCAGCUGCUAGAUAUAUUUCUGGGGGGAAUUCAAGCAUUUCUUGAGUGGUACAGCCUGAUAACCUGUAGGGCACAAUUUGGUUCCAAUCCGUGAAAAUGGAACUAUGUGCGCAAUAAAUGAGUGUAGGACGAAUAAAUCUACCUGUUGGUAAUUAAUCCUCAACUCUCUUCACUUAGGUUUUUCAUUUUGAAUGAGUACAUUUACUUUCUUUUCAAAA
rnacentral:lncRNA from 1 species